GACGUAGGGCGCGAGCGUUGUCCGGAAUUAUUGGGCGUAAAGAGCUCGUAGGCGGUUUGUCGCGUCUGCUGUGAAAACUCGAGGCUCAACCUCGGGCUUGCAGUGGGUACGGGCAGGCUCGAGUUCGGUAGGGGAGACUGGAAUUCCUGGUGUAGCGGUGAAAUGCGCAGAUAUCAGGAGGAACACCGGUGGCGAAGGCGGGUCUCUGGGCCGAUACUGACGCUGAGGAGCGAAAGCGUGGGGAGCGAACAGG
rnacentral:rRNA from 1 species